AAUAAAAUAGUCAAUUAUAUAAUACCAUUUUUUUCAUAUUUAUCCUUAUUGAGAAUAAAUAUAGUUAGUUAGUUAGUUAGUUUGUUGAGCACACCUGACCGUGUAUUUGGUCUCUGUUAUGGUGUUUUGGUGUAUAUAUAAUCACAGUGGAAACAUUGUUUUAAUCAAUGAAAAAGUCACGAAUUUCUUUAGCUUAACAUUCAUUCAUACAAAAUCUGUACAGGUGCACAGAUUAUGACUUUCAUCAUGGUAUCAUAGAGCCAGGUCAUUCUUUGAGCCAGAAAAAAGCCAUCUGCAACAACUGAAGCUCAAGAAAUGGGUCGAAAAAUGCAAGAAUGCAAACCUAUAAAGAAGCUUCUCCAACAGACGAUAUUCUAUCGCCCAAGAACCUGUGUCUAGUUCAAGAAAUGGACCCGAAAAACAAGAAUCCGAAUCCAUCGGUAUGUUGACCCGAUGCACUGCACAGAAUGGGUGAAAACUGUGCGUUUUGAGCUCUUAAGGAAACGAUCUACCCGAUUCUCGAUCCUUCUCAUUUACCCUAGGUUCUACAACUUUCAUCAUCUUUCCAGAUAUUUCGUCCUCUUCCUCUCGAAAUUCUUCUUCUCACAGAUCACAGAGAUAUUCGAUAUGCCCGGCGAUGAAAGAAAUGCUGUUGCUCCUAUCAAUUUCACUCAUGAGCUAUAUCUUCAUCCUUCCGAUACGUAAGCAUCAGCCCUCGUGCCUCAUGUUCUUGCUAGUCCUGAAAACUACACCAUAUGGAGUCGAUCGAUGCGGAUUACGUUGCUCGGAAAACACAAACUCGGGUUUAUUGAUGGAUCUUGUAAGAAGGAAGCUUAAGAUCCGUCUCUUCAUGCUCAAUGGGAAUGGUAUAAUGCCAUCGUGCUUUCCUGGUUGCUGAGCUCUGUUUCAAAGGAAUUAGCCAAUGGAAUGGCAUAUGCUCAUAUUGCAUCUCUUGUCUAGGCAGAUCUCAAGGAAAGGUUUGAUAAGGUUAUUGGAUCUCGCAUAUUUGCUAUACACCGUGAGAUUAACUCUCAUGUUCAGGGAUCUCUCACGGUGUCAAGCUAUUACACAAGGCUGAAAGAGCUUUGGGAAGAACAAUCCUCCUUGAUCGCGGGGCCAACAUAUAAGUGUGAGACUUUAAAAGUUUAUUUCGAUCUAAUGUAACAGCAACGUCUUUUGCAAUUUUUGAUGGGACUCUGUGAAUCCUAUAGUCAAGCAAGGAGUCAGAUACUCUUGAUGACUCCCCUUCCAUCUGUCAACCAAGCCUACAAUAUGAUUAUGGAAGAUGAGGCUCAGAAACUCAUCGUAGGGUCAAAUAAGUCUUCACCUAUAGAAGGAGCUGCUAUGGCUGUGGGUAGAGGGCAAGGCCGAGGUAGAGGACGUGGACGUGGCAACUCUUCACUCGAAUGUGCUCACUGUCAUAAACGUGGGCACGUUAAAGAAAUUGCUAUAAAAUCAUUGGCUAUCCAGCUGACUUCAAAGGUAAUAAGAAUAAGCAGUCUCAAGAGAUUAAAGCUAAUCAAGGAAAAGGUGAGGCUACUAAUGGAGUGGAUGAAGGGCAAACUGUGGCGCCAACCUUUACUCAAGAACAGUAUAAACAAAUAUUGCAACUGUUAAGGAAGGAUUCUAAGCCAACCAUCUAUGCACUCACUGGUACAGGGAUGAGUGGCUGCAAGCCAUUGUCGGUUCCUAUGGCACAUAAUAUGAGGUUAACAGCAUAUGAGGAAGGAAGGAACAAGAAAGAGGAACUGUUAAAGGACCCAGGAGAAUAUAGAAGACUUAUUGGUAAGUUAAUCUAUUUGACAAUGACACGUCCUGACAUUUCUUUUUCUGUGCAUCACUUGACUCAAUUUAUGCAAACCCCUAUGAAAAUACAUAUGGCAGCAGCAAAGAAUGUGCUGAGGUACUUAAAGAACAAUCCAGGCUUGGGAAUACUCUUGAGUUCCUAAGGCAAUUCAAAGUUGAACUGCUUCUGUGAUUCAGAUUGGGCAGCAUGUAACACUACAAGAAGAUCAAUUUUUGGUUAUUUAUUAAAGCUAGGAGACUCCUUAAUCUCCUGGAAAACAAAGAAGCAGAGUAUUGUAUCAAAAUCUUCAGCUGAAGCUGAGUAUAGAGCCUUAAGUGUUGCUGUUUCUGAGAUAAUAUAGGUGUUGGGACUGAUGAAGGACUUGGGAUUGCAUAGUUUAGCUCCUGUACAAGUUUUCUGUGACAGUAGGGCAGCAAUCCAUAUAGCCAAGAAUCCAGUGUUUCAUGAAAGAACCAAGCACAUAGAGAUAGAUUGUCAUUUUGUGAGAGAAAAAUUACAGCAAAGAAAGAUUUCUCUACAUCAUGUACGUUCAAUUGAUCAGGAAGCAGAUGUAUUAACUAAGGCUUUAGGAAAAGGGUCUCAUAAUAGGUUUCUUUCCAAGUUGAGAACUAUUGAUUUGCAUAGUUCAAAACUUGAGGGGGAGUGUUGAGAAUAAAUAUAGUUAGUUAGUUAGUUAGUUAGUUUGUUGAGCACACCUGACCGUGUAUUUGGUCUCUGUUAUGGUGUUUUGGUGUAUAUAUAAUCACAGUGGAAACAUUGUUUUAAUCAAUGAAAAAGUCACGAAUUUCUUUGGCUUAA